GCCACCGAAUACAUUAGCAUGGGAUAAUGGAAUAGGACCCUGUCCUCCUAUUUUCAGUUGGUUUUGGCAGCGCGAGGACUAGGGUAAUGAUUAAUAGGGAUAGUUGGGGGCAUUAAUAUUUAAUUGUCAGAGGUGAAAUUCUUGGAUUUAUGAAAGAUUAACUUCUGCGAAAGCAUCUGCCAAGGAUGUUUUCAUUAAUCAAGAACGAAAGUUAGGGGAUCGAAGACGAUCAGAUACCGUCGUAGUCUUAACCAUAAACGAUGCCGACCAGCGAUUAGGAGACGUUGAAUACAAAACACCACCAUCGGUUGGGCGGUCCUUGGUGUCGUCUCGCUUUCGGGGGGGGGGCGGGGAUGGCUUAUCCCGGUGGCGGCGGUGAAUGACUCCUCCCCCACUGGUGNAGAAAAAAAA
rnacentral:rRNA from 1 species